CGGCGGACGGGUGAGUAACGCGUGGGUAACCUGCCUCAUACAGGGGGAUAACAGUUAGAAAUGACUGCUAAUACCGCAUAAGACCACAGUACCGCAUGGUACAGUGGGAAAAACUCCGGUGGUAUGAGAUGGACCCGCGUCUGAUUAGCUAGUUGGUAAGGUAACGGCUUACCAAGGCGACGAUCAGUAGCCGACCUGAGAGGGUGACCGGCCACAUUGGGACUGAGACACGGCCCAAACUCCUACGGGAGGCAGCAG
rnacentral:rRNA from 1 species